GGUGACUCAGUGGUAAGAGUGCUUGCCUUGCAUGCAUGAGGCCCUGGGUUUGAUUCCGCAGCACCA
rnacentral:tRNA from 1 species